CCCUUAGAUGUCCUGGGCCGCACGCGGGCUACACUGAGUGUCUGAGAUACGAGUCUGCCUGGUCCGGCAAGGUCUAGGUAAUCGCUAAAAGACACAUCAUGCUUGGGAUAGAUUAUUGCAAAUAUUAAUCUUGAACGAGGAAUUCCUAGUAAGCGCAAGUCAACAGCUUGCGUUGAUUACGUCCCUGCCCUUUGUACACACCGCCCGUCGCUACUACUGAUUGGAUGUUUAAGCGAGGUUCUCGAACUGCUAGCGACUUAGCUUCGGUGAGGUCGCAGUGUGGGAAGUGAACCUAGCUUUGGUGUCUAGAGGAAGUAAAAGUCGUAACA
rnacentral:rRNA from 1 species